rnacentral:tRNA from 1 species
UUUUUUGUAAUAUAAUUAUUAUUAUUACCUUCCAAGUAAUUUAUCUCGCAAGAGCUUAAAAA